rnacentral:rRNA from 1 species
CGGGACGGGUGAGUAAUGUCUGGGAAACGUGCCUGAUGAGGGGGGAUAACUACUGGAAACGGUAGCUAAUACCGCAUAACGUCGCAAGACCAAAGAGGGGGACCGUUCGGGCCUCUUGCCAUCGGAUGUGCCCAGAUGGGAUUAGCUAGUAGGUGGGGUAACGGCUCACCUAGGCGACGAUCCCUAGCUGGUCUGAGAGGAUGACCAGCCACACUGGAACUGAGACACGGUCCAG